CUUCCUUGCGCCUUAAACCGCU
rnacentral:sRNA from 1 species